GCGGGGCAACGUCCACGGUGUUCGGUUUUUUAUUUCCAAAAAAAAGAAAAGAUUUGCAGACGUCGACUUGACCAAUAUAAAAGCGGAAUUGAAUUCAGUCUGGAAAAUUGGGCAACCUGCCUAAUUGAAAUUUCACUAAUCGUUCUUCCUCUGAUCUCAUCUAAUAUCUAUAAAUUAUAUAGUCUAAAGUAUCUGAUAUAUGAUCCUGAGUGCACCUCUGCGCAA
rnacentral:lncRNA from 1 species